rnacentral:rRNA from 1 species
CGGACGGGUGAGUAAUGUCUGGGAAACUGCCUGAUGGAGGGGGAUAACUACUGGAAACGGUAGCUAAUACCGCAUAACGUCGCAAGACCAAAGAGGGGGACCUUCGGGCCUCUUGCCAUCGGUUGUGCCCAGAUGGGAUUAGCUAGUAGGUGGGGUAACGGCUCACCUAGGCGACGAUCCCUAGCUGGUCUGAGAGGAUGACCAGCCACACUGGAACUGAGACACGGUCCAG